GGCCAGUUAGCUCAGUGGCUUCAGCGCGGUGCUGGCAACAAUGACCAACACCGAGGUUGUGGGUUCGAUUCCCGCUUGGUCC
rnacentral:tRNA from 1 species